rnacentral:rRNA from 1 species
CCUACGGGAGGCUGCAGUGGGGAAUAUUGCACAAUGGGCGCAAGCCUGAUGCAGCCAUGCCGCGUGUGUGAAGAAGGCCUUCGGGUUGUAAAGCACUUUCAGCGGGGAGGAAGGCGGUGAGGUUAAUAACCUCAUCGAUUGACGUUACCCGCAGAAGAAGCACCGGCUAACUCCGUGCCAGCAGCCGCGGUAAUACGGAGGGUGCAAGCGUUAAUCGGAAUUACUGGGCGUAAAGCGCACGCAGGCGGUCUGUCAAGUCGGAUGUGAAAUCCCCGGGCUCAACCUGGGAACUGCAUUCGAAACUGGCAGGCUAGAGUCUUGUAGAGGGGGGUAGAAUUCCAGGUGUAGCGGUGAAAUGCGUAGAGAUCUGGAGGAAUACCGGUGGCGAAGGCGGCCCCCUGGACAAAGACUGACGCUCAGGUGCGAAAGCGUGAGGAGCAAACAGGAUUAGAUACCCCUGUAGUC